rnacentral:rRNA from 1 species
AGAACGAACGCUGGCGGCAGGCUUAACACAUGCAAGUCGAACGGUUGUAGCAAUACAGCAGUGGCAGACGGGUGAGUAACACGUGGGAACCUUCCUAGGGGUACGGAACAACUCAGGGAAACUUGAGCUAAAUACCGUAUACGUCCGUGAGGAGAAAGUUUUAACGCCCCUAGACGGGCCCGCGUAGGAUUAGGUAGUUGGUGAGGUAACGGCUCACCAAGCCUACGAUCCUUAGCUGAUCUGAGAGGAUGAUCAGCCACACUGGGACUGAGACACGGCCCAGACUCCUACGGGAGGCAGCAGUGGGGAAUCUUGGACAAUGGGCGCAAGCCUGAUCCAGCCAUGCCGCGUGAGUGAAGAAGGCCUUCGGGUUGUAAAGCUCUUUUACAGGGACGAUAAUGACGGUACCUAGGAGAAUAAGCCCCGGCGAAACUUCGUGCCAGCAGCCGAC